UACGGAGGGUGCAAGCGUUGUCCGGAUUUAUUGGGUUUAAAGGGUGCGUAGGCGGCCCUGUAAGUCAGUGGUGAAAUUCUUGAGCUUAACUGAAGGAUUGCCAUUGAUACUGUAGGGCUUGAGUACAGAUGAGGUAGGCGGAAUUGAUGGUGUAGCGGUGAAAUGCAUAGAUACCAUCAAGAACACCGAUUGCGAAGGCAGCUUACUAAGCUGUAACUGACGCUGAUGCACGAAAGCGUGGGGAUCGGAACAGGA
rnacentral:rRNA from 1 species